rnacentral:rRNA from 1 species
UCUAAGUAUAAGCAAUUAUACCGCGAAACUGCGAAUGGCUCAUUAUAUAAGUUAUCGUUUAUUUGAUAGUACCUUACUACUUGGAUAACCGUGGUAAUUCUAGAGCUAAUACAUGCUAAAAAUCCCGACUUCGGAAGGGAUGUAUUUAUUAGAUUAAAAACCAAUGCCCUCUGGGCUCUCGGUGAUUCAUGAUAACUUCUCGAAUCGCAUGGCCUUGCGCGGGCGAUGGUUCAUUCAAAUUUCUUCCCUAUCAACUUUCGAUGUUUGGGUAUUGUCCAAACAUGGUCGCAACGGGUAACGGAGGGUUAGGGCUCGACCCCGGAGAAGGAGCCUGAGAAACGGCUACUACAUCCAAGGAAGGCAGCAGGCGCGCAAAUUACCCAAUCCCGACACGGGGAGGUAGUGACAAUAAAUACUGAUACAGGGCUCUUUCGGGUCUUGUAAUUGGAAUGAGUACAAUUUAAAUCCCUUAACGAGGAACAAUUGGAGGGCAAGUCUGGUGCCAGCAGCCGCGGUAAUUCCAGCUCCAAUAGCGUAUAUUAAAGUUGUUGUGGUUAAAAAGCUUGUAGUUGAACCUUGGGCCUGGCUGGCCGGUCCGCCUCACCGCGUGUACUGGUCCGGCCGGGCCUUUCCCUCUGUGGAACCUCAUGCCCUUCACUGGGCGUGACGGGGAAACAGGACUUUUACUGUGAAAAAAUUAGAGUGCUCCAGGCAGGCCUAUGCUCGAAUACAUUAGCAUGGAAUAAUGAAAUAGGACGUGCGGUUCUAUUUUGUUGGUUUCUAGGACCGCCGUAAUGAUUAAUAGGGACAGUCGGGGGCAUCAGUAUUCAAUUGUCAGAGGUGAAAUUCUUGGAUUUAUUGAAGACUAACUACUGCGAAAGCAUUUGCCAAGGAUGUUUUCAUUAAUCAGUGAACGAAAGUUAGGGGAUCGAAGACGAUCAGAUACCGUCGUAGUCUUAACCAUAAACUAUGCCGACUAGGGCUCGGACGAUGUUAUUUUUUUUGACUCGUUCGCCUCCUUACGAGAAAUCAAAGUGUUUAGGC